GUAAGCAACGUGCCCCAAAGACUGGGAUAGCCCGGGGAAACCCGGAGUAAUACUGGAUGUGGCCCUCAUCUGGCAUCAGGAGAGGAUCAAAUGGUUUUUCGCUUUGGGAGCGGCUUACGGCCUAUCAGGUAGUUGGUGAGGUAAAGGCUCACCAAGCCGACGACGGGUAGCGGGUCUGAGAGGAUGACCCGCUCGAGUGGGACUGAGACACGGCC
rnacentral:rRNA from 1 species